UCGUGCUAGACGGGGAGCUAGCGGUGCCCUGAACCCGCAAUCCGCUCUAGCGGGGUUGAAUUCCCGCUCGAGGUCCAGGUUCCGCAGGGACUGCCCGCAAAAAGUAGCGUUGAUCGCCUGGCCCUGCGCGGCAGGCCACCAUGAACCCCGCUAGGUCCGGAAGGAAGCAACGGUAAGUGGCCAGGUCUGGGCGCCGUAGGCAAACCUGGCGGGAGCCAACUGUUGCGGAUAAGCCUGUGGGGUUGGAUCGACAGCGGGUGCACGA
rnacentral:SRP_RNA from 1 species